AUGCACGCUGGCGGCGUGCCUCAUACAUGCAGGUCGAGCGCACGGACGAGAAGCUUGCUUCUCUGAUGUUAGCGGCGGACGGGUGAGUAACACGUGGAUAACCUACCUAUAAGACUGGGAUAACUUCGGGAAACCGGAGCUAAUACCGGAUAAUAUUUUGAACCGCAUGGUUCAAAAGUGAAAGACGGUCUUGCUGUCACUUAUAGAUGGAUCCGCGCUGCAUUAGCUAGUUGGUAAGGUAACGGCUUACCAAGGCAACGAUGCAUAGCCGACCUGAGAGGGUGAUCGGCCACACUGGAGCUGAGACACGGUCCAGACUCCUACGGGAGGCAGCAGUAGGGAAUCUUCCGCAAUGGGCGAAAGCCUGACGGAGCAACGCCGCGUGAGUGAUGAAGGUCUUCGGAUCGUAAAACUCUGUUAUUAGGGAAGAACAUAUGUGUAAGUAACUGUGCACAUCUUGACGGUACCUAAUCAGAAAGCCACGGCUAACUACGUG
rnacentral:rRNA from 1 species